GCAGAUUGUGUGUAUACUAAAGAGGUCAAGAGAUAAUCAUCUCAUCUCCUCAACUCCCCCCGAUGCCUGGUGUGCUCUCAACAGUUUUCGAUGAAAUAGAACACCCUAAAUCCAUGGGCGGUGUUCCCACCUAGGGUUGUGGGUCACCAUUUCUUCCCUAGACUCCACACCGUUGCCCCUUGUCAAGAUUGCACCUCAAGGUUUUGGUUCCUACUAGCUUCGAUCCCGAAGCUAUUGUUAUUUAUUUUCACUUUAAGACCAUUCAAAAUAUUCAAAACGGAUUACUUGGAUUAAAGGUUGCUUAAAGCCUGGUAAAGGUUCGGUUCUAGUUAAUGGGUCGCACACGGUGUAAUUUAAGUUCAAGAGAGGUCUUAGACAGACAGGGAGACCCCCUUUCUUUUGGGUUGAUCUACACCCAUCUUCUUACUAUUUUUACCCCUUGUGAGUAAAACUGCGGGUCUUAUCCGUAAAUUUGUGUGAGGAGGGGUACAUUUAGUAACACACUUACCACCAAGGGCGGACCCAAGCCCAACCCAAGGUGGGCGGGCGCACCCCCGGGGAAAAAAAUUUAGUGCUAAGUUCCGUUGAAAAUCCCGUCCGCACCCCUUGGAAAUUUUCGUCCGCACCCUUUGGAAUUUUUCGACCGCACCCUUUAAAAUUUUCGUCCGCACCCCUUAGGUAAAAAGUGUUAUCAAUUUAUAUUUUAAAUUUUUUAGUAAACUCUUAUUUGAAAAAAUACUACCUAAAUUAUAAAACUUUUAAUACCUAACUAACAAAACCCAUCCCUUUACCCACUUAUAAUUCCUAACUAGCUAGCCCACUAAGUCUUAGCCCAUUAACCAAACCCAACAAUAUUUCAAACUAUAACAAAAUAAUUAAAGCCCAAAACCUUUAGAAAUUCUCUCCCGCUCUCUCUCUCUUGCGUCCCUGCACUGCCAACGAACAACAUCACCCACCGACAACAGUCCAGCAGUUGGCGACCACCGUAAUCAGCCACCAUACCACCGUCGUUUGACACCAAAUCUAACCGGAAUCCGAACACGGGUUAAACCAGACAAUUAAUUCAAUCAUCUGAGGGCAAAUUCGUCUCUUCAUUCAAUCAGCGAGAAGUUCAUUACACUAAUAUCCCGAGCAGCACUGGACGAACAUAUGUUGAUUUUGAAGAAACUCAACCGAUCGGUGAUCAUGCUCAAUUAUCUGCAUAUCAGAGAGUUUUGAUUGAGGAUGUUUUAAAUCCGCAACCUGCAAAUCCAAAUCCAAAUCCAAAUGCAAGUACAAGUGCUGUAAACGAAGAGACGAAUGGUAAUUAUGUUAAUGCUGAUCUUUAAAUUAUUCGUAGACUUGUUUUGUUUAAUCUUAGCAAUGUUUUUGCAUUGUUGUAGCUGUUUUUGAAGUUUGAAUAUUGAGUAUAUUUUGAUUUGAAAGCAACAUGUAUAAGUUCUCAUGUUAUGAGUUUUUCAA